GGGCAUUUGGCACAGUGGUAGCGCGCACGCUUCGCAUCGCAAAAUGCGUGAGGUCCAGAGUUCAAUCCUCUGAAUGUCCA
rnacentral:tRNA from 1 species